AUGCACUCGUUCGCGUGGCAGAAAUUGUGUAUCCCAAAACUUAGGGGUGGCCUGGCAUUUCAGGAUCCACACUGUUUUAAUCUCUCCCUACUGUCUAAACAGGUAUGGCGCUUGUUAUGCAACCCAAAGUCUCUGUGUGCUAGAGUACUGAGAUCCAAAUAUUAUUCAGACAGUAAAUUACAGAAUGCAAGGAUGAAAAGUGGAGCUUCUUUCACAUGGCAAAGUAUCCUGGUAGGAAUUCAAACGUUUAAUAGGGUUCGCAUUUGGCGUGUGGGGACGGGACUCAAAUAA
rnacentral:rRNA from 1 species